AUCCUUAAGAUAGAGGUAAAAUUCUAAACUUAAAGAUAUAUGACCAUACUACUUUAAAUCCAUGACUAUAAAAAAGGAUUAGAUACCCUUCUAUACUUGGAAACUAAGCCUUAAAUAGUAAGAGUUAUACUUCUGAAAUUUAAAAAGUUUGGCGGCUUUUAGAAAAAUCAGGGGAAUUUGUAUCAUUAUCGUCAACACGCGCUAAACCUUACUUAACUUUAGUUUGUAUACCGCCGCCUAAGUAUUCUUUAUAGAGAAAGACUACAAUUAUUUAUAAGUACGUCAGGCCAUGGUGCAGCAUAGUUAAGAAGAUUACAAAUUACAAUUUAAAUCUAAUUGGAGUUAAAGUUAAAAAUUUUAAUGAAAGAGGACUUGUAAGUAAUUACUAGUUAGAAUAGAGUAAUAAAUUUAAAACUAAAAGUGUACAUAUCGCCCGUCACUCU
rnacentral:rRNA from 1 species